UUGGUGACCUGCUGGGCAUCACUUGCUUUGGUCUUGAGCUCACACCAUCAGGUAACGCUGGGACUCACGUAAUUAAGAUGAAAACAACAAUAGGAUGAGAAUGUGCCCAUGCCGUCCUGGCCUUCCAAGGAAGUGUCACUGUGAUGGAAAGGCCAAACCAGCGUUAGCAAAAGAAAGCUGAUGCCACAGAAGGCGCCUGGCCUCGACUGUCGCCUCCGUGUGUUGAAGACUCAGGGAAAAUGGAAGCUGAUCACUUGCAUAAUUAAACUCAUU